GACAGAGGGUGCAAACGUUGCUCGGAAUCACUGGGCGUAAAGGGCGCGUAGGCGGCCUGUUAAGUCGAACGUGAAAUCCCCGGGCUCAACCCGGGAACUGCGUCCGAUACUGGCAGGCUUGAAUCCGGGAGAGGGAUGCGGAAUUCCAGGUGUAGCGGUGAAAUGCGUAGAUAUCUGGAGGAACACCGGUGGCGAAGGCGGCAUCCUGGACCGGCAUUGACGCUGAGGCGCGAAAGCCAGGGGAGCAAAGCGGG
rnacentral:rRNA from 1 species